UUGUUCUCCUCAAUGGGCUAAUGCUAAGGCAGCUCUUCAGACACUCAAACUUGUCGCUCCCGAAUAUACUUUCGAAGGUAGCCUCUUUAAAUUAGGACUUCAAUCUCAUCCUUAAGUUAGAGACAUUUCUUGAUGCCGUGACCAUGGUCAUGAUGGAAGUGACUGUAUUUCUCUUUGCUUUUCUUUAUUAGUGGGCCCUUCAUCGAUUGGGGUCGGCAGUGAUAGCUCUGGCCCUUAAUUUUUGAGCCCG
rnacentral:lncRNA from 1 species